rnacentral:rRNA from 1 species
UACGAAGGGGGCUAGCGUUGUUCGGAAUUACUGGGCGUAAAGGGCGUGUAGGCGGCUUUUUAAGUCAGACGUGAAAUCCCCGGGCUCAACCUGGGAACUGCGUUUGAUACUGGAAAGCUAGAAUCCGAGAGGGGAUGGCGGAAUUAUCAGUGUAGAGGUGAAAUUCGUAGAUAUUGAUAGGAACACCGGUGGCGAAGGCGGCCAUCUGGAUCGGAAUUGACGCUGAGGCGCGAAAGCGUGGGGAGCAAACAGG